AGCAGUUAAGCAACAACGGUUUGUAGAGAGAGGCCAUCCUUAUUGGUCCCACAGCAGAGUCUUGCUCCUGAUGAGCACAGCUCGUUACUGCCAUAAGCAUUUCAGCAUAGGAAAUAUUUAUGCUUCACUCAACAACAAAAGCAGAACAGUCCAAAAUUUGAAGUUCCCAUUGUGGUGGGGAGAAGCAAUGACCCUGCAAAGCCCCGAUGGUAAGGAGCAUUCGUGACCGCGCGGCACGGUGAGGUAUGGUCAUGUUUUCUGUGCUUUUCGUGGCCAGGCUGCUCACCUGGAUUCCAGAGGCUCGCAGCAAGUCACACGGGAAGCAACCUCGUGAAUCCUGCUCACUGGCCCUCUCCCAGGAGCAUCUGCCGAGUUCUCAAUACUCUCAGCUCUCAAACCAUCAGCCCACAUACAUGCCCCAUUUUCUCUCUCUUGAAGGGACAGCAGAGAAGAGGGAAGGAAUGAAAGUCAAAAUAAAAACUUCUGCCAAAGGUAAGACUGAAGAAGUACACAGAAGUAGACUAAACACAAUGAGAAAGCACUGUUAUAUCUGGCCUCCUGCUUAAAUAAGCUUUUCCCUCUGUCUUCCUCCAGUUCUUGGAAGCCAUCGAGCUGUGCCCAGAGCUCAUUUCCUCUGUCUCUGUCCUCCACUUGUGUCCUCUUCUGUUUCCUCUUUGCAUUAUCUCUGGUGCAUCUGAAAGUGCCCCAGUUGCAGAGAGAAUAUGGACCAUAUCACCUCUCACAGUUACCCACACUUUACCAAUCGAUAAGGAGGGAGAGGACAUCUCCUCAGUUUGCCGUGGCAACAUACUACCAAGAAUUCAUUUUGAUUCUGCACAAGUGUUUUUCAAAAAUUGGAAGCACAAAUUUUUGCUUGCAAAUAACUAAAAAGUCCUCCUGUGUGCAUGGCAUUUAUCUUCCUCAGAUAACACUUGGAGGAUCUCCCAAGGACUUUGGGGUUAGGGUUUGAUGCAAGACAACUUAAUAACCUCUUAAUCUUUGCAAUAUCUGUUUUGCUGGUUAAGUGAUUGAUUUAACACUAUUUUAUGGAUAUAAACAAGUAAUAUCUGUGUACACUGUAAUG